rnacentral:rRNA from 1 species
UACAGAGGGUGCGAGCGUUGUCCGGAAUCACUGGGCGUAAAGGGCGCGUAGGCGGUGACUUAAGCGUGCGGUGAAAGCUCGGGGCUCAACCCCGAGUCGGCCGUGCGAACUGGGUCACUUGAGCGUAUCAGAGGCAGGCGGAAUUCCGGGUGUAGCGGUGGAAUGCGUAGAGAUCCGGAGGAACACCAGUGGCGAAGGCGACACGCUGGGCCGUACCUGACACUGAUGCGCGACAGCAUGGGGAGCAAACAGG